rnacentral:rRNA from 1 species
UACGAAGGGGGCUAGCGUUGUUCGGAAUCACUGGGCGUAAAGGGUGCGCAGGCGGGUCAUUAAGUCAGGGGUUAAAUCCCGAGGCUCAACCUCGGAACGGCCUUUGAUACUGGUGAUCUUGAGUCCGGAAGAGGUGAGUGGAACUGCGAGUGUAGAGGUGAAAUUCGUAGAUAUUCGCAAGAACACCGGUGGCGAAGGCGGCUCACUGGUCCGGAACUGACGCUGAGGCACGACAGCGUGGGGAGCAAACAGG